GACGAACGCGGGCGGCGUGCUUAACACAUGCAAGUCAAACGGAAAGGCCCUGCGUUUGUGUGGUGCUCGAGUGGCGAACGGGUGAGUAACACGUGAGUAACCUGCCCUUGACUUUGGGAUAACUUCAGGAAACUGGGGCUAAUACCGCAUAGGAGCUCCUGCUGCAUGGUGGGGGUUGGAAAGUUUCGGCGGUUGGGGAUGGAUUCGCGGCUUAUCAGCUUGUUGGUGGGGUAGUGGCUUACCAAGGCUUUGACGGGUAGCCGGCCUGAGAGGGUGACCGGCCACAUUGGGACUGAGAUACGGCCCAGACUCCUACGGGAGGCAGCAGUGGGGAAUAUUGCACAAUGGGCGGAAGCCUGAUGCAGCAACGCCGCGUGCGGGAUGACGGCCUUCGGGUUGUAAACCGCUUUCGCCUGUGACGAAGCGUGAGUGACGGUAAUGGGUAAAGAAGCACCGGCUAACUACGUG
rnacentral:rRNA from 1 species